rnacentral:rRNA from 1 species
GAUGAACGCUGGCGGCGUGCCUAAUACAUGCAAGUCGAGCGAACGGACGAGAAGCUUGCUUCUCUGAUGUUAGCGGCGGACGGGUGAGUAACACGUGGAUAACCUACCUAUAAGACUGGGAUAACUUCGGGAAACCGGAGCUAAUACCGGAUAAUAUUUUGAACCGCAUGGUUCAAAAGUGAAAGACGGUCUUGCUGUCACUUAUAGAUGGAUCCGCGCUGCAUUAGCUAGUUGGUAAGGUAACGGCUUACCAAGGCAACGAUGCAUAGCCGACCUGAGAGGCUGGUCGCCCACACUGGAACUGGAACGCGGUCCAGACUCCUACGGGAGGCAGCAGUAGGGAAUCUUCCGCAAUGGGCGAAAGCCUGACGGAGCAACGCCGCGUGUGUGAUGAAGGUCUUCGGAUCGUAAAACUCUGUUACUAGGGAAGAACAUAUGUGUAAGUAACUGAGCACAUCUUGACGGUACCUAAUCAGAAAGCCACGGCUAACUACGUG